AUGAUAUCAGUAGUGUUAUUGGGGGGGAUGUUAUCAGUAGUGUUAUUGGGGGGGAUGAUAUCGGUAGUGUUAUUGGGGAUGAUAUCGGUAGUGUUAUUGGGGGCGAUGAUAUCGGUAGUGUUAUUCGGUAGGGGGGUGAUUGGGACGAUAUCAGUAGUGUUAUUGGGGAGGAUCGGGACAAUAUCAGGGGCUAAUAUGGAGGGUUCAGGGCUAAUAUGGAGGUACCUCAAAUCAAAUUUAUUUAUAUAGCCCUUCGUACAUCAGCUGAUAUCUCAAAGUGCUGUACAGAAACCCAGCCUAAAACCCCAAACAGCAAGCAAUGCAGGUGUAGAAGCACGUAGCUCGUACCUGUAGCUCAUAGAGUUGAAUAGAGGGCACAUACCAAUGUCUCUGCCCAUGCUAAAACCAGCUUUGUGGCAAGUGAGCCCUCGAUCCAACUCUGGUUUAUAUCAAGGUUUUGGGAGUAGUUUUGAUCAUCACCAGCAUUUUUUGACGGUCACCUGACUUCUAAAUGAAGAAAAAAAACGAACGAACCAAGCCUGGCUUUGUUUUUCAAAUUUGAACAAACCCCCAAAUGCAAACGGUUUCUUAUUUUAUUUUAUUUAGACAUUUUCUUUGUGGUGUUGUUUAUUCUUUUUCUUCUCAGUUUUAUCUCAUGAACCAAUCUAUGCUUAAGUGGCCAUUUGCCUUGUAACGUUAUGUUUUACUGUGUGAUGGAUACAGUAAGUUAUAAGUACUGUGGAGUUUACAUCGUAACGAAGAUAUUGUUGAGUAACUAAAAAAAAUAUAUAUAUAUAUAUAUAUGACAAAAAAACGUGUUGCCUAAUGAUGCCAAUGAAAAGACUAAACUAUUAUUAUUAUUAUUAUUAUUGUUAACCAUGAAUAAUGUAAGACGAAAUAACCUGAAGUGUCUAGACGAAAGAGCGUUAAAUGACGUCUCAUUGUCCUCAUGUUGUUCUUCUCUUGUCGUAGAGCUAGUUGUCCUGAACCCUCUACACUGCUGUGUUAACACUACAUGUAUGGCUGCAAUUCAAUAAUGAAGAGAAUAAAUGGACACAUUUCAUCAAGACUAUAUAUUUUUCUACCAUCUCUAUUUUAACCCCCCCCCCCCCCCCCCCCCCCCCCCCCACCCCCCGAGUGAACCGCACCAGACGCUGUGAGGAGGGUGGAACACGCUGGGAACCUGGCACAGGGUCACGAGACUGUGAUGACAUUGCUUGUAACCAGGAAGUGGUCAUUAUGAUGUCAUGAUUUCCUCCAUUCCAUCGUGAUUGGCCACGAUCUGCUCUAACCCAGCGUGCUCUCGCCUUAUGUUAGACUGUGUCGGUUGUCGAUAUAGAUCAGACUUUUAAAUUACCAUUUUUAUUUUGAAUUUUAGAUUUUAAAAAAACACUUUGUAAUUUUGUUUCCCUAUACCGCUUUGAUGAGCUGCCAGACUGGGGUUACUUAUUUAUAGCAGGAAACGGAACGCUUAUAUUACACUUUUAUCAUCCAUGUCUAGCCAAUAAGUUUAAACGCAGGCCUGAGACCAGUAUCACUAAGGACAGAGCCAAGGCUAAUAAAUCUAAGGUCUGAUUUCAAAUCAGCUCUUAGAAAAAGCUCUGUGGACUGGUAACCUAGCAGGCGUAAAAAAAAGACGCCUGAGCGGGAGUUCCCAGGUUGAAAAUACUGUAUCCCUCAAAAGCCGGAAACAUCCGCUUGGUUGACCUGUCGGAGAGUGGUGGACAGGAUCUGAUAUGGCUUUAUGUCCGAGGCGAGAUGACUGCCGCUCGCAGCUCAUAGUCCUUGGACAAGCAGUGAGUUGUUAUGGAGGUCCGUUCCUGCCAGCGUUUUGGCAUUCAUCUCCUUCCAUAGAGUGAUCCCAUUUGGAACUCACCUGGUCAUUAUUCUUAAAAAAAAAAUGCAUUCUCAGUCCUGAUAGGCUGUUAGGGAUGCACCGCUCAAAGUAGAGAGAGAGACUCCAUUUUGACUAAUAUUAGCUACUGAUCAUCAAUCAAUCAAAAACAACCAAUGACUGGGCUGGUUGCCAAUGGGGAGAGUUUGACAGUUUGUUACCAUGCCGAUGCUUGGUAAUAGACAACCGAGCCCUUUUGACACGCUGCGGGAACAUUCUGUGCAAUAAUAAAUAAAGCAGUUUCUUGUGGUGUGACGGCGCCACUGUCUCGCUCUGUAGAGGCACUGUUCUUCAGGGUGGAUGGAUGUAAUGGCACGGUGUCCCCACAUGGUGGCGCUUUUGCUAUAGCCCGGAAUCACUACGUUUCAAUAUUGUAAGAAACAGAGCUGAAUUAAUUUUGGAUUUCCAGGCUAGCACUGCUGCUACUCCUAAGGAAAACGGUUCCAUUCCUCACUUUGUCCACUAGGUAGCGCUAGAUGUCUCUACCGAGGAUGCAGACAGUGUGUCCUCAUUUUCUAUCUAGUCUAUUCUGUGGUAGAAUGUGCUCCUUACCUUAGCUGGCCUGCAGGUUCUCAAACUACUGUCUUUAUAGCGCUUUGUUGUUUAACCGUUUGAUAACCGGCCCCACAAAGCCUGGGCUCCCUCCAUCUAAGACUUAACAAAGUAAGCUCUUCUGAUUUGCAUAAUAACUGUACUGUAAUGUUUUAUUUGUAAAAAAAAAAAAAAAGAUAUAAUUGUGAAAUGAAAAAAAAAAUGGUUGCAUUUAACUAAUUAAAUUAUGGGAAUUAAAAUUACAAAGAAUACCAAAUACAGUGUUGUGAGUGUGGUUAUUUUGUGUUGUGGGAGUGGUCUCAGCUAAGAGGGGGUGGCCCCAGGGAAGGGGGCCCCAGGGAAGGGGGCCCCAGGGAAGGGGGCCCCAGGGACGGGGGCCCCAGGGACGGGGGCCCCAGGGAAGGGGAGCCCCAGGGAAGGGAGCCCCAGGGAAGGGAGCCCCAGGGAAGGGGGCCCCAGGGAAGGGGGCCCCAGGGAAGGGGGCCCCAGGGAAGGGGGCCCCAGGGAAGGGGGCCCCAGGGAAGGGGGCCCCAGGGAAGGGGGCCCCAGGGAAGGGGGCCCCAGGGAAGGGAGCCUGGCAUAGCAUUUUCAACCAUUGUAAAAGGUAGACUCAGUGAUACAGAUAUACACCGUGUGGCGAUUUAAGACGGUACAAACCAAGAGGAUAAUCUCAACGUUUGUUGUCCACACGCAAUGAUAAUGAGCAAUGUUUUUGUGCAGAUGCUUCGCGAUUAAAAACGACCUGGUAAUGAAUGCAAACAAUAGCCCAGGCCAAUGAAUGUACAAUAUAAGGAGUAUAUACACUAAAUGUACAAAACAUUAAGAACACCUUCCUAAUAUUGAGUUGUCUCCCCCUUUUUCCCUCUCAGAACAGCCUCAAUUCGUCGGGGGGGAUAGACUCCACAAGGUGUCGAAAGCGUUCCACAGGGGAGCUGGUCCACGUUGACUCCAAUACUUCCUACAGUUGGCUGUCAAGUUGACUGGAUGUCCUUUGGGUAGUGGACCAUUCUUGAUACACACGGGAAACUGUUGAGCAUGAAAGACACUGCAGUGUUGCAGUUCUUAACACUCAAUCCGGUGCACCUUGCACCUACUACCUUAGCAG
rnacentral:lncRNA from 1 species